CGUCGGCGAUCUGCGGGCAGAUGAAGUGGACGUGCGCGUCGACGGCACCGGCGGUCAUGAUGCGGCCGUUGCCGGCGAUGACCUCGGUCUCAGGUCCGAUCACCAGGUCCGGGUGCACCCCGUCCAUCGUGUCCGGGUUGCCCGCCUUGCCGAUGCCGGUGAUCCGGCCGUCGCGGAUACCGACGUCCGCCUUGACGAUCCCCCAGUGGUCCACGACGACGACCCCGGUGACGACCGUGUCGGGGGUGCCCUCCGCGCGCGUGGCGCGUGACUGGCCCAUGGAUUCGCGGAUG
rfam:Streptomyces sp. AS58 P432contig15.1, whole genome shotgun sequence.